UGAGAGCCCUGACAUCCUUUCUGGGGGCCAUACGAGUUUCCUGCUGAAGUGAUAGCUCAGGACUGAGCCUUUUUGAUGCUGCUCCUUUACAUUCCACAGCUCAGCCUCUCACUGCCUCCCUUUCCCUCUCCCUCCCCUUCUCUCUCGCUUCCUAACUAAACCUCCCUCUGUUUAUGUAGGGUGGUGAGUGAGUCUCUUUUUAUGGCACACAGGUCACAGGCAGCCUGGCUGCCCUCCGUGAGGCCUUCUGCUUUCGGGCAUCUUGGUGGGGAGCACACCAGCACCGCAGUGACAGUGACCUGGGAAGAAUGCUGGGGGGCCAGGAGCGCUCCGCAGGCAUUUGCUGCUUUUUUAUAAGCAGCCUCUAGGUGACUGAAUGCCUUACUAUUAAGUCAUGCAAGGGGAAAAUAAUCACUUUCGGGCUGACACCAAAUAUGAGUAUGUUCAGCACCAAAGGCACCUUGCUCAGAAUAUUUUAUAAACAGAUUUUUUUUAAGUCUCAACUGUGGCUUAAAGAUACACUUUUGUCGUAGUCCUUAAUAGUAACUCAUCUGAAAUACACGUACGUCCAUUUCUAGUCAUCUGCAUUGAUACAUCAGAAUAAUGUGUUUAAUCCAACUUAAUUUAAUAGAUUAUAAAAUACUUGUAUGCAAAUGUUUUUGUCUAGAAGUUCCAAAAUUUCAUUCUCACUUCCUGUUCUGUUCCUUCCACUCACCUUGUGCUCACCACUCCCCAUGCCAUACCGGGCCAUCACUUCGUAUGGCCUGGCAAGACUGUCUCUCCCAUCUUCCCCAUCUCACUUGUUACACUGAAAAAUGGAAGUGGAGAGAAAUAGAAAUAUACAGAGCAUUCCCAGGGGCGUAUCCUAAGGAUAAGCUGGGAUUCCUUUCAGGUGUUUCUCCUUCAAGCUCCUGCCAAACUGAUAGCUAUACCCCGAUGAAUUCACACAGGAAGUUAGAAAGUCAACAGGAAUUGCCUCCCAAGCCAGAACACUAC
rnacentral:lncRNA from 1 species